GACGAACGCUGGCGGCGUGCCUAAUACAUGCAAGUUGAGCGCUGAAGGUUGGUACUUGUACCAACUGGAUGAGCAGCGAACGGGUGAGUAACGCGUGGGGAAUCUGCCUUUGAGCGGGGGACAACAUUUGGAAACGAAUGCUAAUACCGCAUAAAAACUUUAAACACAAGUUUUAAGUUUGAAAGAUCCAAUUGCAUCACUCAAAGAUGAUCCCGCGUUGUAUUAGCUAGUUGGUGAGGUAAAGGCUCACCAAGGCGAUGAUACAUAGCCGACCUGAGAGGGUGAUCGGCCACAUUGGGACUGAGACACGGCCCAAACUCCUACGGGAGGCAGCAGUAGGGAAUCUUCGGCAAUGGACGAAAGUCUGACCGAGCAACGCCGCGUGAGUGAAGAAGGUUUUCGGAUCGUAAAACUCUGUUGGUAGAGAAGAACGUUGGUGAGAGUGGAAAGCUCAUCAAGUGACGGUAACUACCCAGAAAGGGACGGCUAACUACGUG
rnacentral:rRNA from 1 species